rnacentral:rRNA from 1 species
AGUGAACGCUGGCGGUAGGCCUAACACAUGCAAGUCGAACGGCAGCACAGUAAGAGCUUGCUCUUACGGGUGGCGAGUGGCGGACGGGUGAGGAAUACAUCGGUAUCUACUUUUUCGUGGGGGAUAACGUAGGGAAACUUACGCUAAUACCGCAUACGACCUACGGGUGAAAGCAGGGGAUCUUCGGACCUUGCGCGAUUGAAUGAGCCGAUGUCGGAUUAGCUAGUUGGCGGGGUAAAGGCCCACCAAGGCGACGAUCCGUAGCUGGUCUGAGAGGAUGAUCAGCCACACUGGAACUGAGACACGGUCCAGACUCCUACGGGAGGCAGCAGUGGGGAAUAUUGGACAAUGGGCGCAAGCCUGAUCCAGCCAUACCGCGUGGGUGAAGAAGGCCUUCGGGUUGUAAAGCCCUUCUGUUGGGAAAGAAAAGCAGCAGGUUAAUACCCCGCUGUUCUGACGGUACCCAAAGAAUAAGCACCGGCUAACUUCGUG